AUUGAACGCUGGCGGCAUGCUUUACACAUGCAAGUCGAACGGCAGCGCGGGCUUCGGCCUGGCGGCGAGUGGCGAACGGGUGAGUAAUACAUCGGAACGUGCCCAGUAGUGGGGGAUAGCUCGGCGAAAGCCGGAUUAAUACCGCAUACGACCUGAGGGUGAAAGCGGGGGAUCUUCGGACCUCGCGCUAUUGGAGCGGCCGAUGGCAGAUUAGCUAGUUGGUGGGGUAAAGGCCUACCAAGGCGACGAUCUGUAGCUGGUCUGAGAGGACGACCAGCCACACUGGGACUGGGACACGGCCCAGACUCCUACGGGAGGCAGCAGUGGGGAAUUUUGGACAAUGGGCGAAAGCCUGAUCCAGCAAUGCCGCGUGUGUGAUGAAGGCCUUCGGGUUGUAAAGCACUUUUGGCGGGAACGAAAAGGACUGUGCCAAUACCACGGUUCGAUGACGGCACCCGCAGAAUAAGCACCGGCUAACUACGUG
rnacentral:rRNA from 1 species